CGUGCACAGGAAGGGGUAACGUGCACAGGAAGGGGUAACGUGCACAGGAAGGUGUCAUCGCGGGCAGUGGGAAGCAGUGGGGUAACGUGCACAGGAAGGUGACGUCGCGGGCAGUGGGAAGCAGUGGGGUAACGUGCACAGGAAGGGGUAACGUGCACAGGAAGGGGUAACGUGCACAGGAAGGUGUCAUCGCGGGCAGUGGGAAGCAGUGGGGUAACGUGCACAGGAAGGCUAUUGUGAAUAAUACUGCUGUGAACAUGGGUGUACAAAUGCCUCUUCAAGACUGUUUUCAGUUUCCUUGAGUCUAUAGCCAGAAGUGGAGUUGCUGGAUCAUAUGAUUCUGACUCAGCAGGUCUGAGGCGGGGCCUGACAUUCUGCACGGCUGGCCUGCUCCGGGCGCUGCUGAUGCUGCUGGUUCCUGGACCACCCUUGAGACCCUGGAUGACCUCUGAGGUGCUGCCUCCUUGCAAAAACCCUCAGCUCUUGGGACCUCUCCCUGCGCUUCCGAAGCCCUUUCAGAUAUUUUCCUGUAGCCCUCACAAAGAGCUUGGGGUUGCGGUUUCUGCCGCUGUUGACUCUCACGUGGGUAAGGCCAUUUUCAUUUAAUUUUUUGAAGCUUUUCUAGAGCCCAAGCUCCCUAAGGAUGGGGAAUUCAUCUCACCCAACACUUGGCAUCCCCUAGAGAACCUAGUCCAGUGCUGUGCUGUCUUCUCAAUACUGUUUGUUAGAGGAAUAAUAAUAACAGCCCUCAUAUGUGUGAACACUUCACAGUUCACAGGCACUUUCAUAUGCUUAAUUCAUUACUUGCCAUUUCUCUUCCGAUGAAACCAGCAGUUCCUCUUGGCUUACGUGCUAGGCGUGAAUUUCCUCGUUUUUAUCCUCACAACAAUCCUGUGAAUUACACAGGGCAGGUAUUAGCCUGCCUGCCAAGAAGGGGACACUAUUGUUUGUAGAAACAUUAAGCAUGCUGCCCAAGGUGUCCUAGGGGACAAUGGCAAGCCUGGGAUCUGUUUCCAGGUUGCUGCUGCCAUCUCCCUAGAAGAGAGUUGGGACCACCAGCAGGAGUAGGGACUUGGGCUCCAGAUGGUGUCCGCUUCUUCUCACUGGGCCAUUCCAGUGGUGGCUGGCCAGUGUUUCUGGUGCCAGCCCUGUGGGCCUCCCUGCCUGCAUCCUACCUGGGCCAAUGCCCCAUGGCGCAGGUGACCUCCACAUGGCUUCUUUUCUAUCCUUUGCAUUGAAGGCCCUUGCACUGCAGGAUAACAGCUCAGAGGACUGGAUUUCUGGUCCUAGCUCUGUUACUUCUGACCAUGGAGCCAUAGACCAGGCACCAACUGAGUUUUGGUUUCCUCUUCUGUAAAAUUUGGAUGAUGCUGUAUGCCCAGCUGGGCCUCUGGGCUUCAUGAGCCCACACCAAUAGCGCUCUGUGGAAAUGCUUUGUGCAUGCAAAGAGACGUACAUGCUACUUCUUCAUCAAGCGUGUACACUGUAAAACAGAAAGGCUUUUUUAUUUUCAAAGUUUGGGUAUUUACACAGAGGCCCUUGCAUAUGCGUGAUCAUUUCAGUGGCUCAUUUGUUUGUCUUGCUGUGUAUAAUAGUAAGACACAAGCCCCUCCUGAAGCCAUCGGCAGUCUCCUCACUGCUUUGAAAGUUGAUUUCCUUUGUCAUCCUUACUUCCUAAGGGUUAGCCUGAGUCAUCCAGCAUCAGGAUGCCAGCUUUGCGUUAGAAGUUAAUUAUUCUUCUUUAUCAUAUUGAGGACACUUAAUUUUUUUAGUGAUUUACUCUGCUUUGUAAUUAUAGAUGUGGUGAUUAGAAUGUCUUAUAUUUGACAUUACAGAUUUUUAAAAACAUGAUUUAUUCCCACCACUGAUUUAAAACUCUUCCUUUGUAAGUUUUUAUUCCUGCUUGUGUGACAGUGUUUAGGGACUCCGGCCGGGCCUGGUGCCUCUGCAGGGGCUAUUAGAGGCGCUGUGUACAUAUAUAAUUAAGGAAUUUCAAAACACAAAUGACUGCCUUUGGGGCCAAUAGCCACUGCAGUUUCCAUCUAUCAUGUCAGCCCUGGAGAUGGUUGUGUAUUUGGUAAAGUAAAUUAACAUACAACAACUUUGCUUAAAAUAAUGUUCAAAUUUAAGAUGUAGCAAGAAGCAGGAAAAACAAACAAUAAAGGGAUCCAGGGAGAGCGAAAAUCACAUAUUUAAAUGCGAACAAAAUCUUUGCCUGGUGCCUUUAUCACCUGUGGGUUACAGCAUAAAGCCACCUGAAGACCCGGAUUCCUUCUUCACCUCCUUUUGUUUUCUGGCCAAACUUUCUGUUCGAUUUGCACCAUCUCUGAGCAGACCUUGGGUUUGGAAGGGACCUUUGGAGCCUCAUCUUUGUCACGUAUUUUGUCCUUUGAAAAUGUAUUAUAGAGAUAAUGGAACAUCAUUUCAGAGUUUCGGAAAUGGGAGAGAAAUCUCCCAGCAGCCCAGCAGUUGAAGAGGAGCUGCCUCAAAUACCAGCCCAACGGGAGGCCUGUCUCUGGCUUUUAUGUUCAAGCUGGGACUCUUGGCCUCAGAAGCCUGCUUCUGGUCUUGAAAGUUGGUCCCUUCCCAGCAUUAUAGCAUUAAAAAAAUUUUUUUUUUGCCACCAAUAAAAC